GUCUACGGCCAUGCCACCCUGAACAAGCCCCAUGUCUGAUCUCAGAAGCUAAGCAGGGUCGGGCCUGGUUAGUACUUAGAUGGGAGACCACCUAGGAAGACCAGGUGCUGUAGACA
rnacentral:rRNA from 1 species